rnacentral:rRNA from 1 species
CCUACGGGUGGCAGCAGUGAGGAAUAUUGGUCAAUGGACGAGAGUCUGAACCAGCCAAGUAGCGUGAAGGAUGACUGCCCUAUGGGUUGUAAACUUCUUUUAUAUAGGAAUAAAAUGUUCCACGUGUGGGAUUUUGUAUGUACCAUAUGAAUAAGGAUCGGCUAACUCCGUGCCAGCAGCCGCGGUAAUACGGAGGAUCCGAGCGUUAUCCGGAUUUAUUGGGUUUAAAGGGAGCGUAGGUGGAUUGUUAAGUCAGUUGUGAAAGUUUGCGGCUCAACCGUAAAAUUGCAGUUGAAACUGGCAGUCUUGAGUACAGUAGAGGUGGGCGGAAUUCGUGGUGUAGCGGUGAAAUGCUUAGAUAUCACGAAGAACUCCGAUUGCGAAGGCAGUUCACUGGACUGCAACUGACACUGAGGCUCGAAAGUGUGGGUAUCAAACAGGAUUAGAUACCCUAGUAGUC